rnacentral:misc_RNA from 1 species
GAAAAAGAGAAAGAUAAUGGGUAUAUAUAAUUUUUGGAAAUUAAAAGUGAAAUUCAUCUUUGUACAAAGGAAAAAAAAAGCAACAGACAAAAAGAAGUUGUGUGAAAAGAAAGAAGGUGAGAAUGAAACUUCCAAUAUAUAUAUAUAUAUAUGGCCACCAAUUUUCACUGCAAAACAACAGAAUUGUCUCCUCUUUAAAUCAACAGCAGCAGCAGCAGCAAACAUACCCACUGAAAUUUUCAACACAACCAUUGGAACUUUCUUCUAGUAAAGUCGUUCUUUCAUGUCAUGCCACCAUCUCCACCAAUAAUAAUCCCAUCUGGGUCUGAUUUUGCUCAUCCUGUUUUCUCCAUAGGGGUAAUCAGUUUCAGCCCUUCUUGUAUUUCUGAAAGCACAACAUCCUAUUGAAUAGAUCCCAAUGAGAAGCACAAGCAUCACAAUAUUAAGGACUGAGAGCUUGUGCCAAUCCCUUCUCACAUCUUCAAGCACUCCAGCUUUGCAAGAAUCACACCCAUAACACAGUAAAGUUGGGGAAUUGUUCCAUCUGUAGCAAUCUGGGUCUUGAGGCAACAUUGUUGGCAUGUAGUAGUUACAUGAAGUUGGUGGCUUGCAACAUCCAGACUGGAUGGGAGACAUGUCUUUCUCUGUAUAAUCAAGAGGAGUCCAAUAGGCAAGCUUGGCACAAGUCCUGGAACCCACUAUGCAGCUUCUAAUCGUUCUCCAAUAGUCAGGAUCAUUAAUCCUAUCUCUCAACCAAGGAGAAUAAUCUUGAAGCCUAUACUCCUUGUAAACCCUACCAGGAACAGCCACACCACCACCUUGGCUUGUGACAACAAACCCAAAAAUAGUCAAUCCCAUUAAGGUUGCAAUAAGGAACAACAUGACCACGAGGUAGACCCAAAGUGCCCAUGCUACAUGAAAACAGGCUCCAAUGAAGCCAGCUAGUGAAACUAUGAGCACAACAAAACCCACAACCAGAAGUGGGGUUUGGAGGAAACUUUCACAGGUUGUGCUGCUUCUUGCAAUCCAUAAGCCUCCACCAAUGAUAGGUAUGGAAGCUAAGAGAGUGAAAAGAUUCAAGAACCCAAUAACUGUGUUGCUAAAUCUAUACAUUUCUUUAAUCUAAUUUCUGUUUGUUGCACUUGCACCUAGCUAGUUCAAUUCCCUCUCUCCUUCUAAACACUUGUAUGAGUAUCUCUCCUUUUCUCUUUGUAUUCCUGCAGCUUCUUUUCUUGUUAUGGUGUCUUGUUCAGCUUUUCUCUUUUAAUGGGUGGCAAUGCUUUUCUUUAUUAUAUAUGUUUCUAAAAGAUUCAAGAAAUUGAAAAUGCUUAUCAACUUUCUCUAUUUGCCUUUUACUUUAUCUGAUGUACGUAGAAUUAAUGGCUAGAUUAAUUAUGUAUGCUU